CCCCCGCGGGCCCGAGUUGUACUUUGGAGAGGACGCUUCUGGCGCGGCGCCGUCCGAGUUCCCUGGAACGGGACGCCGGAGAGGGUGAGAGCCCCGUACGGGCGGCCGCCUAGCCUCUGCGAAGCUCCUUCGACGAGUCGAGUAGUUUGGGAAUGCUGCUCAAAAUGGGAGGUAAAUUUCUUCUAAAGCUAAAUACCGGCCAGAGACCGAUAGCGCACAAGUAGAGUGAUCGAAAGAUGAAAAGCACUUUGAAAAGAGGGUCAAACAGUACGUGAAAUUGUUGAAAGGGAAGCGCCUGUGGCCAGACUUGCGCCCCGCGGACCACCCGGCGCCUCGCGCGCCGGGGCACGCCAGCGGGGCGCAGGCCAGCAUCGGCUCUCUCGGGGGGACAAAGGCCGCGGGAACGUAGCGCCCUCGCGGCGUAUUAUAGCCCGCGGCGCCAUGCCCCCGGGGGGGCCGAGGACCGCGCUCCGGCAAGGAUGCUGGCGUAAUGGCCACCGGCGACCCGUCUUGAAACACGGACCAAGGAGUCAAGCAUUGGGGCGAGUGUCUGGGUGGCAAGCCCGCACGCGGAAUGAAAGUGAACGCAGGUGGGAGCUUCGGCGCACCACCGACCGAUCCUGAUGUCCUCGGAUGGAUUUGAGUAGGAGCCCCGCCGCUUGGACCCGAAAGAUGGUGAACUAUGCCUGUAUAGGGUGAAGCCAGAGGAAACUCUGGUGGAGGCCCGCAGCGGUUCUGACGUGC
rnacentral:rRNA from 1 species